AACAGCCGCACCGGAGUGCGAGUGCCCAAUAGCGUCCGCUCUUGGAAGCUAAGCAGGGCCGUGCCUGAUUAGUACUCGGCAGGAGACCGACUUGGAAGACCAGGUGCCGCUGUCC
rnacentral:rRNA from 12 species